UACGUAGGGAGCGAGCGUUGUCCGGAAUUACUGGGUGUAAAGGGAGCGUAGGCGGGACUGCAAGUUGGGUGUCAAAUCUACCGGCUCAACCGGUAGCCGCACUCAAAGCUGCAGUUCUUGAGUGAAGUAGAGGCAGGCGGAAUUCCUAGUGUAGCGGUGAAAUGCGUAGAUAUUAGGAGGAACACCAGUGGCGAAGGCGGCCUGCUGGGCUUUUACUGACGCUGAGGCUCGAAAGUGUGGGGAGCAAACAGG
rnacentral:rRNA from 1 species